rnacentral:rRNA from 1 species
UACGUAGGGUGCAAGCGUUGUCCGGAAUUAUUGGGCGUAAAGAGCUCGUAGGCGGUCUGUCGCGUCUGCUGUGAAAACUCAGGGCUUAACCCUGAGCUUGCAGUGGGUACGGGCAGACUAGAGUGCGGUAGGGGAGACUGGAAUUCCUGGUGUAGCGGUGAAAUGCGCAGAUAUCAGGAGGAACACUGGUGGCGAAGGCGGGUCUCUGGGCCGUAACUGACGCUGAGGAGCGAAAGCAUGGGGAGCGAACAGG